CGUUAAUGGGUGAUGGCGUGCCUUUUGUAGAAUGAACCGGCGAGUUACGAUUUGAUGCAAGGUUAAGCAGUAAAUGUGGAGCCGUAGCGAAAGCGAGUCUGAAUAGGGCGUUUAGUAUUUGGUCGUAGACCCGAAACCAGGUGAUCUACCCUUGGUCAGGUUGAAGUUCAGGUAACACUGAAUGGAGGACCGAACCGACUUACGUUGAAAAGUGAGCGGAUGAACUGAGGGUAGCGGAGAAAUUCCAAUCGAACCUGGAGAUAGCUGGUUCUCUCCGAAAUAGCUUUAGGGCUAGCCUCAAGUGAUGAUUAUUGGAGGUAGAGCACUGUUUGGACGAGGGGCCCCUCUCGGGUUACCGAAUUCAGACAAACUCCGAAUGCCAAUUAAUUUAACUUGGGAGUCAGAACAUGGGUGAUAAGGUCCGUGUUCGAAAGGGAAACAGCCCAGACCACCAGCUAAGGUCCCAAAAUAUAUGUUAAGUGGAAAAGGAUGUGGCGUUGCCCAGACAACUAGGAUGUUGGCUUAGAAGCAGCCAUCAUUUAAAGAGUGCGUAAUAGCUCACUAGUCGAGUGACACUGCGCCGAAAAUGUACCGGGGCUAAACAUAUUACCGAAGCUGUGGAUUGUCCUUUGGACAAUGGUAGGAGAGCGUUCUAAGGGCGUUGAAGCAUGAUCGUAAGGACAUGUGGAGCGCUUAGAAGUGAGAAUGCCGGUGUGAGUAGCGAAAGACGGGUGAGAAUCCCGUCCACCGAUUGACUAAGGUUUCCAGAGGAAGGCUCGUCCGCUCUGGGUUAGUCGGGUCCUAAGCUGAGGCCGACAGGCGUAGGCGAUGGAUAACAGGUUGAUAUUCCUGUACCACCUAUAAUCGUUUUAAUCGAUGGGGGGACGCAGUAGGAUAGGCGAAGCGUGCGAUUGGAUUGCACGUCUAAGCAGUAAGGCUGAGUAUUAGGCAAAUCCGGUACUCGUUAAGGCUGAGCUGUGAUGGGGAGAAGACAUUGUGUCUUCGAGUCGUUGAUUUCACACUGCCGAGAAAAGCCUCUAGAUAGAAAAUAGGUGCCCGUACCGCAAACCGACACAGGUAGUCAAGAUGAGAAUUCUAAGGUGAGCGAGCGAACUCUCGUUAAGGAACUCGGCAAAAUGACCCCGUAACUUCGGGAGAAGGGGUGCUCUUUAGGGUUAACGCCCAGAAGAGCCGCAGUGAAUAGGCCCAAGCGACUGUUUAUCAAAAACACAGGUCUCUGCUAAACCGUAAGGUGAUGUAUAGGGGCUGACGCCUGCCCGGUGCUGGAAGGUUAAGAGGAGUGGUUAGCUUCUGCGAAGCUACGAAUCGAAGCCCCAGUAAACGGCGGCCGUAACUAUAACGGUCCUAAGGUAGCGAAAUUCCUUGUCGGGUAAGUUCCGACCCGCACGAAAGGCGUAACGAUUUGGGCACUGUCUCAACGAGAGACUCGGUGAAAUCAUAGUACCUGUGAAGAUGCAGGUUACCCGCGACAGGACGGAAAGACCCCGUGGAGCUUUACUGUAGCCUGAUAUUGAAAUUCGGCACAGCUUGUACAGGAUAGGUAGGAGCCUUUGAAACGUGAGCGCUAGCUUACGUGGAGGCGCUGGUGGGAUACUACCCUAGCUGUGUUGGCUUUCUAACCCGCACCACUUAUCGUGGUGGGAGACAGUGUCAGGCGGGCAGUUUGACUGGGGCGGUCGCCUCCUAAAAGGUAACGGAGGCGCUCAAAGGUUCCCUCAGAAUGGUUGGAAAUCAUUCAUAGAGUGUAAAGGCAUAAGGGAGCUUGACUGCGAGACCUACAAGUCGAGCAGGGUCGAAAGACGGACUUAGUGAUCCGGUGGUUCCGCAUGGAAGGGCCAUCGCUCAACGGAUAAAAGCUACCCCGGGGAUAACAGGCUUAUCUCCCCCAAGAGUUCACAUCGACGGGGAGGUUUGGCACCUCGAUGUCGGCUCAUCGCAUCCUGGGGCUGUAGUCGGUCCCAAGGGUUGGGCUGUUCGCCCAUUAAAGCGGUACGCGAGCUGGGUUCAGAACGUCGUGAGACAGUUCGGUCCCUAUCCGUCGUGGGCGUAGGAAAUUUGAGAGGAGCUGUCCUUAGUACGAGAGGACCGGGAUGGACAUACCUCUGGUGUACCAGUUGUCGUGCCAACGGCAUAGCUGGGUAGCUAUGUGUGGACGGGAUAAGUGCUGAAAGCAUCUAAGCAUGAAGCCCCCCUCAAGAUGAGAUUUCCCAACUUCGGUUAUAAGAUCCCUCAAAGAUGAUGAGGUUAAUAGGUUCGAGGUGGAAGCAUGGUGACAUGUGGAGCUGACGAAUACUAAUCGAUCGAAGACUUAAUCAA
rnacentral:rRNA from 2 species